UACAGAGGGGGCAAGCGUUGUUCGGAAUCACUGGGCGUAAAGCGCACGUAGGCGGCCUUUUAAGUCGGAGGUGAAAUCCUGGAGCUCAACUCCAGAACUGCCUUCGAUACUGAGAGUCUUCGAGUUCGGGAGAGGUGAGUGGAACUGCGAGUGUAGAGGUGAAAUUCGUAGAUAUUCGCAAGAACACCAGUGGCGAAGGCGGCUCCCUGGCCCGAUACUGACGCUGAGGUGCGAAAGCGUGGGGAGCAAACAGG
rnacentral:rRNA from 1 species